GAGUGUAGUUUAAUGGCAGAACUUCAGCCUUCCAAGCUGACUAUGCGGGUUCGAUUCCCGUCACUC
rnacentral:tRNA from 1 species